GGGAAAAUAGUGUGAAGAUGAAGAGGGAGUGCCAUGUGACAAUGGGAGACGGGAGUGAUGUAUUUACAAGCCACAGGACUCCUGGAGCUGCAGAAGGUAGAAGAGGGGCCAGAACAGUCCCCCCGGAGUACCUUCGGGGGAGCGGGGCCCUGCUGACACCUCGAUUCUGGACUUCUGGCUUUCAGAAGAUUCCACAUCCUUCGGAAGUAUCACCAUCCUUUGUCCAUCUCUCAGGAUGGACUGACCCACAUUCAAUGGCGAUUCACAUGGAACUUUAGCCUCCAGAGUUCUUCUUUGAAUACUAGCUGCUAACACAAAGAUCUGCACCUGUGGUGGCUCCACGCCCUAGGCGUCAAGGCUCACACCUGGCUGGCCCUCCUAUCCUCGUGGGGAAGUGUGGGGGAGGAGGGGUUCGGUUGGCGUCACUACCCCCUGGUUACUGGGGGAGCACCAAGCGCCCCAAGCCUGAUCCCGGCCCUCUCAUGCCUCUCUGACCACCAGGCCGGCCGGGUAUGGGCCCAGCACGCCAGCGCCAUCCAUUUUCAGGGCUAAUUGAUUUGGCAGGGAGGGCCCUUAGUCCAGUAUGACUGGUGGGGUAAGAAAUUGAUGUGAAGCCACAAGGAAAGAACGCCAGGUGAAGACAGAGGCAGAGACUGGAGGGAUGCAGCUGUGCACUGAGGAAUGCUGAAGAUGGCUGGAAACCACCCAAAGCCAGGAAGAAGCAAGGAAGGAUCCUCCCCUAGAGUCUUCAGAGGGCGAGUGGCCUCCCCUACACUUUGCUUUUAGUCUUUGAGACUCCAGAAUUGUAAGAGGCUCUCAGGAGACAUCCUCACCAGGACUACCUGUGAAUG
ensembl:lncRNA